AUUGUGAACUGGUGGGGAGCAACUUUAUGACUGGUGGGGAGCAACAGAACAAUUAUGACUGUUGGGGAGCCACAUUAUGACUGGUGGGGAGCAACAUUAUGACUGGUGGGGAGCAACAUUAUGGCUGGUGGGGAGCAACAGACCCAUUAUGACUGGUGAGGAGCAAAAGACCCAUUAUGACUGGUGGGGACGAACAUUAUGACUGGUGGGGGGCAACAUUAUGAUGGUGGGAGAACUUAUGACUGGUGGGGAGCACCCUACCUUUAUGACUGGUGGGGAGCAACA
rnacentral:lncRNA from 1 species